UUUAACAACCGUGUCCCGGCCGUUCCAAAAGUGUGAGCUAGUGACCGCAGAGAAACAGCGGCUUGUGGUUCUGUUGGCGUGCACACGUUAGGCCUCGACCUUCCCUCUUGACGUCGGCUGACCUUGGCAAGUUUAUGCUGACGUCACGAUUCUAGUACAUCCGCACUGCGCGCUUUGGUGCUGUCGCCGCUGUUCUCUGCUCACGGAGUACAGCGUGCAUCGCUCUCUCAUCUCCGGUACUGCUGACGUCAUCAUUCUCUUUUGGCACUCAAAUCUCUGUCGUCUGCGAGGGAACCCGGAUGUUAUACCACGGGCUGACUGACAAUCGACGCCACUCGGGGGCGCUGCGCAUGCAUGCGCGUGCGCAUGCUUCUCGGAAAGUGACGUCAGCGAAAGGACUGUGCGUAGUUAGUUCCUGUGGUCUCUCAAGCAUUUUUGCUCUUGUUUCAGUUUUAUUUUGGUUUCUUGCUUUUUUUUUCUCUCUCAAUCUAUGUUUCACCGCGCAUUCAGCGUGGUGUGCUCGUGUUGUCUCAGGUUGCGUCGUGCUGUGUUAAACGUGAGUGUUGUGUGGUACUCUAUCGUGUGAAAGCUGUGACUAUGCAAGUUUAGCUUUGCUGCUCCGCCCCCUCUCCCACGCUUCCUCGCCUCCUUUUCCCUUCCCCCUUCCACUGCAAUCCUUCCAGCCAGUCGUCCAUACUCUCGCUUAUGCAGGCGUCCAAAGGCCGAACCUACCGUAUUUCGUCGUCGCAGUGUUGUGUACCGGUUUAAACCUUGGCGCUGGCGUUGCCGUACUAUCGUAGACUAUAGGUGCUCUCCCAGAACGCGCUCCUAGAUCCCGCCUAGCGGCGAUGGCAUCAGACACGGCACAAGUUAGCUGACGCUCCUCGUCGGAACAUAGUGUGCUCAUUGCAUGAGAUGUUCAGGAAUGUGCUGCGUCAUUCCAGGAUGCGGGGUUUCAGUAGGCGCAAAGGCAGACGCACCGUAGACGCACCGUUUGAUUGCCACGUGUAGUUUCUAGCAUAGCCGCUCCUCUGCUGAAUUCGUUCAUAGCAAAGUCGGGUCAAUAGCAUUUGCCAUGGCUUGACCUUCAACGGCCUCUUACGAGCUCGUGCGGAGAAAACUUGCCACAACUCUGCGGCGUCCCUUCAGCGGCUCGUGAGCGAAACCUACUGGAGAGCUCAGGUGAUCUUCAGCGUAUAGUUAGGACUGUUUGUGACUGCCUUGCAGCCGCACUUUGGCAGAGGAGAAUAUACAGAGGGAAAGGUGGUGAUUAACAGAAAGGAGUCUGCCUUGCUACCCUGCGAAGAAGAGAGCAGAGUGAUAUCUGCGUUAAAGGGGAGAUUAAAGCGUGCUAAGUAAUGCACACGACGGUUCAAACCACGUUUCGUGCCAUCGCUGUUAAGCAUCAAACAUCAAUAGCUCCUCACCCUCAAGACACGUGCUCGUUCACGUACUCCUUAUAAGACCCUAUUCCAAGACGAGAUGUUCUCUGACCUCUUCUGACGUCAAUUCCAUUCUUAUAUUCGCCCUACGUAUAAAAAAAAGAAAAGAGUACCUGCCGACCUUCGUAUAUUGUGCCCAUCGUCCGUACGGUGUAGUUGGCGCAUGCGCGCUGGCGACGUCGCGUCGAGUCUCAUUCCAGACGUCUUGCUCCAUGUCCACGCCCUUCGCGGUUGCCCACAGUUGUAGCCGUGGUGCAUACAUUUUUUUUUUCUUACGAUUCCAUUCUGUCCAUCGCAUUCCGUCAUUUGUCUCGUGAUCUGCAACCUGUCACAAGACACAUCCCUCUACAUCGUGCCCUCUCGUAGAAGGAUGUCUCCUAGCGCCAUCUGGCUCUCGCCCAGGUGCUGCGUUAACCCCGGCGAAAGAGGUUUAAAAAAAAGUAUUCUUCGGGAUGAAGUAGACGUGUAGUGCACCUUGGAAGUCUCCUCCUCCUCUGACAAAGCGGCAACCUUUGUAGCCACGUUACCAAUCACGUGAUCUCCCACGGAUUCUUACAGAGCGAGCUGUUAUCAAAGUUCGGAUCUGUUAAUUUCUAUUUUGCUUUAUUUCACCGGAAUAAUUUAGCUCCUCGGGCGAGAAGUUCAACAUCCGUAUAUGCCCAUGUGGCUUUCUAUACUACUUCCAGCACUCAGUGAUAAUGUCAAGCUUGUUGAUGAGAGCACAGGUGCAGUUUUUGUUUUAUUUGUUUUCUGCUCAAAACAUUCCAUCUAUCGAUACUCUCGCGGGCGCGCCUUCCUUUUUGGAAACACGUUGUUUUGGAAGAAGCUUGACGCCAAGUAGUCGUAGCGGAGCUCCUGACGGAAAGAUGCAACAAUGGCGGGGAGCUUUUUUUGCUUAGUAGCGAAUCGCGAACGCUCAUAAGCGUCAGCUACGAAUGUGAGAUAUCCACGUUUCCGGAAACAACGGUCGUUCAGAGAUAAGCAUACAUGAAGAGGAAGUUUGGGCUUUCAACCAAGCUCGCUAUGACCCAAUCUUGCAUGAGCGUUGAUUGAUUCAUUGAAUGAUAAUGAAAUGUUAGGAACUUUUGGUGCCGGCUUUUCCGCGACGUUUGAUAGUCAGAUGACGUGCGACGUUCAGCGAUAGAACAUUAGCGUUACAGCUACAUGCAGAAUCGUUCAGCGUGAGUGUGGGGUCAAACAAACGGACACUGAGAAAGCAGGCUUCUGAUAUUGGACCAACAACUCGCUACAAAGGUUCAUGAAAAACUUGUAACAUGCUUACGUACGUUACUGGGCUCUUGUUACUUCAGUCAGUAAAACUGGCUGACUGAUGGCAGAAUUUAACCAAAAGAGUUAAACGACAUCGAGGAAAUUUUCCCUUUCACGAUGGUUCACGAUUAACGAUUGAGUACUAGGAAUAUUGGAUUUGAUUUAUUUAACGAUGUUGGACAUAUUUGCAAGUUUUUUUGUCGUCGUUUUUUUUUUCGCAACAAUUGCUUUUCAAAUGACAAGACAAGAAUAUGACAUGAUAAAAUAAAGAAAGAAAGUAAGAAUUCCACUGGACUCAUUUGCGAGACGUAGGCUUUGAAUUAGUAAAUUUUAGUGUGUCGAGAAUCAAAAAGUGGACUACAGAGAGAGAGA
rnacentral:lncRNA from 1 species